CAAGAUCUUCCAGUGAUAAAGAUUCUUAGCUCAGACGCUGGAUCAAAGUGCCAGAUAAGUCUGCCCUUAACCAUCUUUCAAUCACACUGGGGGAUAAAUGCUGGCCAAGUGCAUUGCUCUGACCUCCUGUGUGUGUGUGAGAGAGAGAGAGAGAGACACACACACACACACACACACAAGAUGGGACAGGCUGUACAUUCCAAGAUAUCAGCCCAGGGGAAUGGGUGUCCCGCCCCCACCUUCCCUGACAUUCCCAACCAGUCCCCGCGCCCGCCCCUCCCCGAGGGCCUCCUGUUCUGAAAUCUCGAGACAAAGAUGAAGGUGGCAUUCCUGUCUCUCGCUCUCCUGCUCCUGUUCCCCGCUGGCCCCCAAACUGUGGAGACACGCACAUGGAAGUGUGAAUACAUCGGCGGGACAUGCAGUAUGACAACUUGUGCCCCCAGCUACAAAACAGAGAUAGCAUUUUGUGAUGACAAUUCCAAUUGCUGUUAUCCCUGAUGGAGAAGCAAGUGGGACCUGACCGCCCGGGAUCCCAACUGGGAAAAUGUGGACUGACUCGGUGUAAUUGGGAGAUGGAGGGCGAGGAGGGGUAGAUGUGCAAUUCUCUCUGUCCCAGAGCCCAACCCCAGCACCCCCAUUCCAAUCUCUGCCUAAUGCUCCCCACCCCCCUCGCAAUAAAACUGUCAGCCCUCUGUC